GACGAACGCUGGCGGCGUGCUUAACACAUGCAAGUCGAACGGAAAGGCCUGCUUUCCCUUGUGGAUUGCGGGUACUCGAGUGGCGAACGGGUGAGUAACACGUGAGUGAUCUGCCCCCAACUUGGGUAUAAGCCUGGGAAACUGGGUCUAAUUCCCGAUAGGACUGCAGGGUGGUGCCUGUGGUGGAAAACGAUUUUCUAGUGGUUGGGGAUGAGCUCGCGGCCUAUCAGCUUGUUGGUGGGGUAAUGGCCUACCAAGGCGGCGACGGGUAGCCGGCCUGAGAGGGUGGACGGCCACAUUGGGACUGGGAUACGGCCCAGACUCCUACGGGAGGCAGCAGUGGGGAAUAAUGCACAAUGGGCGGAAGCCUGAUGCAGCGACGCCGCGUGGGGGAUGACGGCCUUCGGGUUGUAAACUCCUUUCGACCGCGAGGAAGCCACCUGGUUGGAAGGGUGGUGACGGUAGUGGUAGAAGAAGCACCGGCUAACUACGUG
rnacentral:rRNA from 1 species